UAAAGUAUCGGCUGGGACGAACAAGGAUAGGCGAAUCCAACUCGCGAGCCUUGAUAGGGUUACUCUGGUUGAGGUGGCCCUUUACAAGGCUGGGGAGCCUGCGGGUGACGAGAUAUUGGACGUAGAGAGGGUUAUUAAAUUAUACUUACAUUUUCCAUUUUGUCGAAGAUAAGCACGAGAACAGUUUGUCCAAAACAUAAUAUGAUUUUGGUCUUAUUCAAUGCAUGAUUAAAUGCCCUUCAAUCAUCAUGAAGACCACUUUUCGAUAGGGGCAUCAGAGAACGACAACGUCACGUUCGGCAAAAGAAACUUCACGGGUUUCUCGUACGACCAAUCGCCGGUGGAGACCACGACGGAGCUAUAGUGACACUU